AAAUCAUGAUGAGGGCACUUUUUAAGAAUUUUCUUAAACCUUUCCCAGCUUUCAUAAAUUGACUCUCCAACAUACUAAAAAAAUAAAGUAAUAUCAUUCGUAAACAU